rnacentral:rRNA from 1 species
AACGAACGCUGGCGGCGUGCCUAACACAUGCAAGUCGUACGCGAAAGGGGGCAACCCCCGGUAGCGUGGCAGACGGGUGAGUAACACGUGGGUAAUCUGCCCCGAGGUGGGGAAUAACUUUCCGAAAGGAAGGCUAAUACCGCAUGACAUCGUGGAGUCCUCGGACUCUGCGAUCAAAGCUGGCCUCUGUUUACAAGCUAGCGCCACGGGAGGAGCCCGCGCCCCAUUAGCUAGUUGGUGAGGUAACGGCUCACCAAGGCAACGAUGGGUAGCCGGCCUGAGAGGGUGAUCGGCCACACUGGAACUGAGACACGGUCCAGACUCCUACGGGAGGCAGCAGUGAGGAAUAUUGCGCAAUGGGCGAAAGCCUGACGCAGCGACGCCGCGUGGAGGAUGAAGGUCUUCGGAUUGUAAACUCCUGUCGUGCGGGACGAAUGCCUCGGUCGCUAAUAUCGGCCGGGGUUGACGGUACCGCAGGAGGAAGCCCCGGCUAACUCCGUGCCAGCAGCCGCAGUAAAAC